CCAACAGUUGUCACUUUCUCACCAAGCUGCUUGCUGAUGGUCAUGUAGCCCAUUCCACCUUUAUCAAGGUCAACAAUCUUGUCUCUGACAUCCUUAGACGGCUCUCUGGUGUCUCUCAUGGUGAUAAGAUUGAAGAUCUAGAAAGUGCUCUCUGGUGUCAAAGCUUCCCUACAACGGUGGGAGUCAUGACUGUGGCUGAGGGAUUCAUUCUCAUUGGCUGCCUGCUGCAAGGGGUUCUGUGCAGUACCUGGUCAGCCUGGAUGCCUCAGAACAUACAAGCUCUGCAUGGAUCCUGUGUGCUGAUUCCCUGCACAUUCCAGAUUCCAUCUAAACAGGAAAACAAUCUGAAAGCCCCAGUCGGAAUGUGGUGGUCAAACAGAUUGACAACAGAUAAGAAAAUUGUGUUUUUCUCCAAUAAAACAGAGAAUGACAUUCAGGGAAAUAUAACUGGGAAUUUACUUAAGAAAAACUGCACCACAGUCCUGAACAAUAUUCUGAUGAAAUGGGCUGGUAAUUUUUCCUUUAGGAUUGAAGCCAACAAUUCUCUUAAGUAUAAUUUUGAUGAAACGGUGAAAAUUGAUG